CCGUCCCCAACACGAAGUUAUCCCUUCCUCCUUUUUCUGUUUUGGGCACAGGCGCCGCGUCCCAGGUCUCCGGGGACAGCGUGACUGUGAGUGCGGUGGCGGCUCUCCGGGGCUCCGGGCCCCGCCUCCUUCCUUGGGCGUCCGCGUCCGCCUGCACCGCGCUGUCGGCAUCCUUUCCUGCGGGUGACUGCAGGAGGGCAGGACUCAGGAAGGACCCUGUGGGGGGAGGGUGUGAAAGCCGCAGGGGGUGAGGGAAAGCUUUCAUUCCGGGUCCAUCUAAAGUCCAAUUCUGGCCUCGGACUGGGAAUUUUGGAGAGAGACAGAGGGGCAGGGGUGGAGAGUCAGGGUAGCGGCGAGGGGUGUUGUAGAAGGGAAAAUGCACACCGAGCAGCUUGCAUCCCGGCUGUCCUACCCUCCAGGGAGACCUAGAAAGACAGGAGCCUCGGGGAGAGACAAAGUCGGCGUCCCUGUCCGCGCACCUCUUCCAAGGUUCAGACAGGCCAGGCGCGUGAGGAAGCAAGGAGCGAGGGGAGAACGCGAGGCUGAGCUUAGGCGAGCUUGCCAGAAUUUCCCCCAGGUCUCAGGAGCAGGAACUCCCGGCUGUGCUCCAGGUGUUCAUCCCAGGGCCUCAGGCCUGCCAUGAGGAAUCCCCGUUCUGGGCGUGCAUUUGGGUUCGGUAACCUGCCCUACUCCCCUUCUGCUGGCCAGUGGACCACUCUGAAGGCCCCUCUGGCCAGGAGCCUGCCACAAGGGUCAGGGCAUCCAGCUAGUGCACUGCCCCAAUACUAAAGUGUGGUCUGUGGACCCUUAGCAUCUCCCCCACCUGGCUGCUGCACAAGCUCCGGCCUCACCCGCCGCACUGCAGCAGAACCUGCGUGUGAAAAGGUUACCUAGGGGACUUGUACACCUCUGCAGCUGGAGAAGCCCUGGCCUAAUUUCCAGAGCCCGAGUUGACUCCUGCUGACUCCACACAGUGUGUCUCCCGCUUCAUCUUCAUCAUCUGUCCAGUGAGAGGUGUUUCUGAGGUCCCAGGGCAGCUCUGCAGCAACCCCUGAAACCACUCCACCCCAAGGAAAUGAAAAUCGCUAGUUAGUGGAGCCUGGCAGGAAUGCAGUUUUAAGUGUCCCCAAAUGAUUCUAAUAGCCAGGAAGAACUAGUAGAGAAUUAACUCCCUUUGCAGAUCAGCUGAGAUAUGCCCUGGAGCCUACACAAUACUGUGAGUACAAUGCUUCAGACCCCUGGGCUCUAUAGCCAGAUUCACUCUGGCGCCAGCAGAUGUGGCCUUGAGCCGGCUAAUGAGCCUUGCGGUGCCUCCGUUUCCUUACCUGUAAAAUGGAGUUGAUAAUAAUGCUCUACCACAAAGAGCGGGGUUCGGGUUUAGAACCAAACAUUUAGAAUCAAUUUCAAUAAAUCUUAGUUUAUAAUGCCAAA